GACGAACGCUGGCGGCGCGCCUAACACAUGCAAGUCGAACGGAAUCGAGAGGAGCUUGCUUUUCUUGAUUUAGUGGCGAACGGGUGAGCAACGCGUGAGUAAUCUGCCCUGGAGUGGGGGACAACAGUUGGAAACGACUGCUAAUACCGCAUAAGCCCACGGUGCCGCAUGGCACUGCGGGAAAAGGAUUUAUUCUCUUCAGGUUGGACUCGGGUCCAAUUAGCUAGUUGGUGAGGUAACGGCCCACCAAGGCGACGAUUGGUAGCCGGACUGAGAGGUUGAACGGCCACAUUGGGACUGAGACACGGCCCAGACUCCUACGGGAGGCAGCAGUGGGGGAUAUUGCACAAUGGGGGAAACCCUGAUGCAGCGACGCCGCGUGGAGGAAGAAGGUUUUCGGAUUGUAAACUCCUGUCGUUAGGGACGAUAAUGACGGUACCUAACAAGAAAGCACCGGCUAACUACGAGCCAGCCGCCGCCGUAA
rnacentral:rRNA from 1 species